GGAGAUCACUGUGUCAGUGUCACCCUUCCCCACGCUCCCUCCAGGUGAAACCAGACUUCUCCUCUCCCCUCGGCAUGGUGACAGCCUGGCCCAGCCUGCUGGUGCCACAGCAGAGGGCUAGGAAGUCUGUCACCCACACCCCAGUGAGACUCUCCCCACUGCCAUCAGCUGUGACACGGCCCCAGCAACGCCCAGGGAACAGCUCAAACCAAGGCCCAGCCUCCCUGCAGAGCUGGGAAAAGUCAAAAAGCCACAGCCAGGCCUGGGGUGGGUGUAGGACAGCUGGAUGUGGGCUCCUGACAACCCCUUUUCCAACAGCCACCCCCCCCCCAGCUGAGGCUGAGAGGUUCCUUCAGGUGAGAGAGCAGCUCUCCGAGGGCCCCACUGUCCUUUCUGUGCCUCCCACCCCAAAAAUGGACCCAGGCCAUGAAGAAAGGGCCAGUCCCUGAUCUUCUGUCCCACACAACAACAUCUGCUCAGAGCACAGCAGAACAACCCCAGGCUCAGCUGCUGCCGGGCCGAACCCAGACCAGGUGCUUUAUUCACUUCAUAUUUAUUUUUCACAAAGACUGUACAAAAUUCUUAUAAAACUCUGGUGUGGGGAUGGGCUAUGACAUUGAUCCAAAAAAUAAUUC